GACAAAUUAAGACGGACAAUAUAGGAGCAUAAAAAAACACAUGAUAAGGAUACUAAUUAGAGCUGGACCGUGACGAGCCAGGCCCUGAGGAUCGAUACCAGCCCCAUCACCCUGCAGAGGGGCUAGCAAGGGCCGGGGGAGGGAGGGUGUGACAGAGAAGAAAUAGUCCUCGCCAGGAAUGUGCGAAGUAAGCAGCAUCUCUCCGGAGCGCCGCGUGAACACGAGGAUUAGAAAAACGAAAGAAAGGGCAAAAAAAACAAGCUCAUAGCUUCCUCGUUUCUCUCCCCCACAGAGGAUUUCGGCUGCUGCCAAAGGCUCUGUCCUGGUCAUUCAUCAUUUAAAAGCUAAAGUGAAGAUAUGAAACUAGAUGAGCUAAUGCAUGAAUUGGUACCAACCAUGGCGUUGGGAAGGAGGAUAAAUAACACUUUUUUGCCGAUGGAAAACUGGCAUGGCCAUUUUCAACCUCAAGAUGUCUGGAUGAAAAUAGGUUCCAUGGGCACCAUAAGGAAAUCUACAAUAUUUGAAAAAGUAAGUUAACAGGUUAAAUAUGGUGGGUUUUAGUGGGUUUGAUGUUAAUUUUGAUGUAUGUUGAUCUUUUAGUACAAGUUUUUUCUUGUCUGCUUCUUCUGACUCCAUGUUCCAUUAAUGCAUGUUACUAACUUCACUUCUUCCCCGGAGUUCUUGUGCUUUCUCGUCUCGCAGGUUCCUAUCGAUCCUGGUGGAGCCUCCUGCCAUGGUCCUGCUACAUUGCCAUUGCCAAUAGUGUUGUUGCUGUGCACCUGUCUGUUUAUCUCUCGCUCUCUCUCUCUCUGCCUCUCUCUCUCUCUCUCUCUCACCCCAACUGGUCGAGACAGACGACCACCCAUCUAGAGCCGAAGGA